GAAAUGUGAUAAGUAAUGUGAAUUGCAGAAUUCAGUGAAUCAUCGAAUCUUUGAACGCACAUUGCGCCCGCCAGUAUUCUGGCGGGCAUGUCUGUUCGAGCGUCAUUUCAACCAUCAAGCCCCCCGGCUUGUGUUGGGGACCUGCGGCUGCCGCAGGCCCUGAAAAGCAGUGGCGGGCUCGCUGUCACACCGAGCGUAGUAGCAUACAUCUCGCUCUGGGCGUGCUGCGGGUUCCGGCCGUUAAACCACCUUCGUAACCCAAGGUUGACCUCGGAUCAGGUAGGAAGACCCGCUGAACUUAAGC
rnacentral:misc_RNA from 1 species